GAUGAAGAACGUAGCGAAAUGCGAUAAGUAAUGUGAAUUGCAGAAUUCAGUGAAUCAUCGAAUCUUUGAACGCAUCUUGCGCUCCUUGGUAUUCUGAGGAGCAUGCCUGUUUGAGUGUCAUUAAAUUCUCAACUACACUGACUUUGAAUUGGUGUGGCUUGGAUUUGGGGGGAAAAUUGUUGUGGGCUUUUUGUAUAGUCUGCUCCCCUGAAAUUGAUUAGCGGUACCUUUGUGGAACUGUCUACAGGUGUGAUAAUUAUCUACAUCUGAGACAUCUGCUGGAAUGCUGCUCUCUAAACCUUACUUGUAUUGACAAUCUUGACCUCAAAUCAGGUAGGACUACCCGCUGAACUUAAGCAUAUCAAUAAGCGGAGGA
rnacentral:misc_RNA from 1 species